AGGAAGCGGAGGUCCGCCAAGCCCACAGGCGACAUCUACAGCAGAACGGAGUGACAGGGUCUCCCCCAGCCCACCAGCAGCUGGAAAACCCACAUGGUGUGCUUGUCUGCAGGCUAGACGUCAGAGCGGGGCAGGGCCGCCCGGCGGCCCUGAGGACAGGCCUGCAGGGCGGCCGGACGGGCAGAGCAGAGGCCCGGACACAGCGCGUCUGCAGGCUCCAGAUUCCAGGCGGUUGCUAGGCGACCAUGGCGGCAUCUGAGCAGCAAGAGACGCCCAGACUCAGACGUGGCUUCACAACUCCCAGAAAGGAAGAACCAAAACCAGCUCCUCUCAAGGAGGAGGAGGGAGGCCCUUCCUAACUCGCCCACGAGGCUGACGUCACCCCAACACCACGGCCGCGAAGACCGCGAUCACGGAGAAAACGCCGAAAACAAAAAACUGCAGACCUACGUCCUUCAUGGAUAUAAAUGCAAAAACCCCCAGCAAAAGAGCAGCAAAGAGAAGUGUGCGCUGUGGCCAAGGGACACUUCUCCCAAGAAUGGGAGUGGCUCGGCCUGCCAAAAUCAAUCCGUGCGACCAGUCACUUCAACAGAAUCAAAGACAAAAGUCACGGGGUGCUCUCAGCUGACGUGCAGAAAGCGCUGGACAAAACCAACUCCUUUUCAUAAUUAAAGAAAGGGAAAACUUGAACUAGGGCUAGAAGGGACCGCCCUCAAUCUGACAAAGGCCACCGGGAAAAGCCCAGAGUUGACAAGCCUGAGAGUGUCCCCACCGGGACCGGGACGAGGACCCCACUUUUGCCACCUCUAUUCCCCAUGGCAGCGGGGGGUCUAAGCGGGCAGUUAGGCAAGGAAGGCGGGGGCGGGGGAGAGAGACAAGGACAGGAGAGGAGAAGCAAGGUCACCUCCGCGUCUGAAAUUCCGGAGGAGUCACCUGCGCGGUGGCGGGCGGGGCGGGCGGGGCGGGCACCGAGGGAAGAAGACAGUGAGCUGACAGCUGCUGAAGCUGCCUGACGGAUACAUUCUUUUCCCUAAUGUUACAUAUGUUUAAAGUUUUGUAUAAUAAAGAUUUUAAAACCCUUCACAACAUUGUAAACUGACUAUAAUUCAACUUA